GUGCCAGCCGCCGCGGUAAUACGAACCGUCCAAACGUUAUUCGGAAUUACUGGGUUUAAAGGGUACGUAGGCGGCGCUGUUAGUCGGGUGUGAAAGCCCACGGCUCAACCGUGGAAUUGCGCCCGAAACUGCAGUGCUCGAGGGAGACAGAGGUAAGCGGAACUGAUGGUGGAGCGGUGAAAUGCGUUGAUAUCAUCAGGAACACCGGUGGCGAAAGCGGCUUACUGGGUCUCUUCUGACGCUGAGGUACGAAAGCCAGGGGAGCGAAGGGGAUUAGAUACCCCCGUAGUCC
rnacentral:rRNA from 1 species